GAUGAACGCUGACCGAAUGCUUAACACAUGCAAGUCUUUGGCGAAGCUGUGCUUGCACAGCCUAGCCAAGGCGGACGGGUGAGUAACGCGUAAGGAACUUGCCCUGCAGUCAGGGAUAACAGACGGAAACGACUGAUAAGACCUGGUAAAGUCAGGCGGACUCAUGUCCAGCCUGAUGAAAAGUGAUGCUGCAGGAGAGCCUUGCGUCCUAUUAGCUUGUUGGUGGGGUAACGGCCCACCAAGGCGAUGAUAGGUAGCCGGCCUGAGAGGGUGGACGGCCACAAGGGGACUGAGAUACGGCCCUUACUCCUACGGGAGGCAGCAGUGGGGAAUAUUGGACAAUGGGGGCAACCCUGAUCCAGCAAUUCUGUGUGCACGAUGAAGGUUUUCGGAUUGUAAAGUGCUUUCAGCAGGGAAGAAAAAAAUGACGGUACCUGCAGAAGAAGCGACGGCUAAAUACGUG
rnacentral:rRNA from 1 species